rfam:Nelumbo nucifera unplaced genomic scaffold scaffold00199, whole genome shotgun sequence
GUUUUUAUAGCUCAGUUGGUUAGAAUACCCAUUUGGUAAGCGGGAGGUCUUGAGUUCGAAUCUCAAUGAAACCA